rnacentral:lncRNA from 1 species
CUAAGUUUCUUAUUCUAGCAGUGGUUAGUAAUGUUCUUUAAUGUCAAGUAAUGUGUUAAAUAUUCAACCUUCAAAGUCUAAACGGAAUGGAGUAAUUUUUACCAAAAGUGAAAUUAGUAUAUUCAAUAUUUAAUGUUCGGAGUGUUUUAGUGCAAAUGGAUGAAGUCCUACAAAAUCCACAAUUUCAAAUUAAGUUGUCUGAACUACUUGAUCAAGAUUGGUUUAAGAUUGGUAUUUACUUAAAAGUCGAAAAGCGUAGUUUAGAAUCAAUUAAAAAUGAUUUUAUAAAUUUUCAAAACCAAGAAGACAAAGCAAAUGAAAUGAUAAAUAAAUGGUUCAAUAUAGACGAAAAUCCGACGUUUGAAAAAUUAAAACUCGCCAUAAAAAAAAAAGAUUUAUUGACGAAAGUGGAGAACCUUGCGAAAACGUUUUUAAAUGAGUCUUCAAAUUCACCAAGUAACUCUAGCGAAAGAAAUUCUUCUAUAAAC